AUUGAACGCUGGCGGCAUGCUUUACACAUGCAAGUCGAACGGUAACAGGUUAAGCUGACGAGCGGCGAACGGGUGAGUAAUGCAUCGGAACGUGCCCGGUCGUGGGGGAUAACGCAGCGAAAGCUGCGCUAAUACCGCAUACGAUCUGAGGAUGAAAGCGGGGGACCGUAAGGCCUCGCGCGAUCGGAGCGGCCGAUGUCGGAUUAGGUAGUUGGUGGGGUAAAGGCUCACCAAGCCAACGAUCUGUAGCUGGUCUGAGAGGACGACCAGCCAGACUGGGACUGAGACACGGCCCAGACUCCUACGGGAGGCAGCAGUGGGGAAUUUUGGACAAUGGGCGAAAGCCUGAUCCAGCAAUGCCGCGAGCAGGAAGAAGGCCUUCGGGUUGUAAACUGCUUUUGUGCGGAGCGAAAAGGUCUCCUCUAAUACAGGGGGCUCAUGACGGUACCGUAAGAAUAAGCACCGGCUAACUACGUGCCAGCAGCCGCCGUAA
rnacentral:rRNA from 1 species